CAGCAGCAGCCGCGGUAAUACAGAGGAUGCAAGUGUUAUCUGGAAUGAUUGGGCGUAAAGCAUCUAUAGGUAUCUUUUCAAGUCCGCCAUCAAGUCCACGUGCUCAACCCUAGACAGGCAGUGGAAACUACCAAGCUGGAGUAUGGUAGGGGCAGAGGGAAUUUUUGGUGGAGCGGUGAAAUGCGUUGAGAUUAUAAAGAACACCAACGGCGAAAGCACUCUGCUGGGCCGACAUUGGUACUGAGAGACGAAAGCUAGGGGAGCAAAUGGGAUUAGAUACCCGUGUAGUCCCUGUCUCUUAUAU
rnacentral:rRNA from 1 species